rnacentral:tRNA from 1 species
CCCCUGCUAGCUCAGUUGGUAAAGAAUCUGCCUGUAAUGCAGGAGACCCAGGUUCGAUUCCUGGGUUGGGAA